rnacentral:siRNA from 1 species
GGCGUGCAGUGACCUGGUC